GCGAUCAUACCAGCACUAAUGCACCGGAUCCCAUCAGAACUCCGAAGUUAAGCGUGCUUGGCCGAUAGCAGUGCUAUCAUCACUGUCCCCCUGGGAAGUCCUCGUGUGUUACCU
rnacentral:rRNA from 1 species